CAGGCUCCGGGGGGCCGGCCCCAGCUGGGAGCCCCGGGCGAGCAGGGAGUAGCUGCGAAGGUGCCCGCCCCCUCUCUCCGCCCCUCCAGCGGAGCUGGUCUCCGGCCGGGCACCGUCGCGGCCCCCCCUGGCCCGGCCACCUGGGACUGUGCUGGGGAAUCGGCCACCUCCCUCACUCCCCUCGCCCGCAAAGUUUGUGGCGAAGCCGGCGCCCGGGCAGAGCGCGCCCCCGGGGGGAGAUCGAGGAGCGCCCGAUGCGGGGAGGCAGGAGCCGUUGACCCGGGACGUCGCCGUCCGGGGCAGAAGCGCGGAGCAGCUGACAAGCCCGCCGCCUCCGGUGCAUGGGGCCCGGCUGAAGAGCCAGCAUGGGCAACUGCGUGGGGAGACAGCGCCGGGAGAGGCCGGCCGCCCCGGGACACCCCCGCAAGCGAGCAGGGCGCAAUGAGCCCCUGAAGAAGGAGCGGCUGAAGUGGAAGAGUGACUACCCCAUGACUGACGGGCAGCUGCGGAGCAAACGGGAUGAGUUCUGGGACACAGCACCUGCCUUCGAGGGCCGCAAGGAGAUCUGGGACGCCCUCAAGGCCGCCGCCUAUGCAGCCGAGGCCAACGACCAUGAGCUGGCUCAGGCCAUCCUGGAUGGAGCCAGCAUCACCCUGCCUCAUGGCACCCUCUGUGAAUGCUAUGAUGAGCUGGGCAAUCGCUACCAGCUGCCCAUCUACUGCCUGUCGCCGCCUGUGAACCUGCUGCUGGAGCACACGGAGGAGGAAAGCCUGGAGCCACCUGAGCCCACGCCCGGGGUGCGCCGCGAGUUCCCCCUGAAGGUGCGCCUCUCCACGGGCAAGGACGUGAGGCUCAGCGCCAGCCUGCCCGACACAGUGGGGCAGCUGAAGAGGCAGCUGCACACCCAGGAGGGCAUCGAGCCGUCCUGGCAGCGGUGGUUCUUCUCCGGGAAGCUGCUCACAGACCGUACACGACUCCAGGAAACCAAGAUCCAGAAAGAUUUUGUCAUCCAGGUCAUCAUCAACCAGCCCCCGCCGCCCCAGGACUGAGGAGCCCGCGGACCCCUGGGAAGAGAGGCUGUGGAGGCCUCUGCGGGGCGAAGAGGCCCCCCCCCCCCGGCUGAGCACUGGGUGCCCCCACCCUGCCUCCGCGUGCUGUCGCUUUCUUCAGGGGCGCCUCCGGCCGCUUGGCUGCUGGGCCAGCCGUGAAGGGGCCCUGACUCCCAGGUGCCGGCCCCCGGGGCCCCCAGGGCCCCGCACCCAGGAAGCAGUGCUGCCACACUUUGCCAGCCUUGUCGGAGAAAAGGCGAACGGGGGCCUUCCACCCUGCCUCUCUCCCGCAGCAGGUUCGAGCCACGAGCGCCAGCCCGGAGGCCCCCGGAGCCCAGAUCUGUCCUCCGGUGCUGCCGGCUGUGCUCACUUCGGUUUUCUGCUCAGGGUCUGAAGCAGCUGCUGUCCCCUGCCCCUGCCCCCACUCCCUGACUCUGCCCUGGGCCCAGUGCCGGUCCCCUGGAGGGGAGGGGAUGGCCCGUGAGCCCCAGGGGCAGGGAGCCUGAGGCCGGCCUCUGCCUCUCCCUGCCCCCCAGCACAAUUGGCAGAGGUGGAGCGGGCGGGUGGCUGGACGGCUGUGCUGUUGAGGCGGGGGUCUGCACGGGGCCAUGUCCUGGCUGUAACCCAAGCGGUGGGGGGGUCUGCAGCCUGGCCAUGGCCCAUCACAGGUCCCUGUGUACAGACAUAUCUGCAUAUUUAUCAAUAAAGCCUUUUGCUCCUUCCUUC